rnacentral:rRNA from 1 species
AUUGAACGCUGGCGGCAGGCUUAACACAUGCAAGUCGAACGAGUGGCGGACGGGUGAGUAAUGUCUGGGAAUCUACCUUAUGGAGGGGGAUAACUACUGGAAACUGUAGCUAAUACCGCAUACCAUCAGAUGUGCCCAGAUGGGAUUAGCUAGUUGGUGGGGUAAAGGCUCACCUAGCCGACGAUCCCUAGCUGGUCUGAGAGGAUGACCAGCCACACUGGAACUGAGACACGGCCCAGACUCCUACGGGAGGCAGCAGUGGGGAAUAUUGCGCAAUGGGGGCAAGCCUGACGCAGCCAUGCCGCGUGAGUGAAGAAGGCCUUCGGGUUGUAAAGUACUUUCGGUGGGGAGGCGUUACCUACAGAAGAAGCACCGGCUAACUCCGUGCCAGCAGCCGCGGUAAUAC